rnacentral:rRNA from 1 species
UACGUAGGUGGCAAGCGUUGUCCGGAAUUAUUGGGCGUAAAGCGCGCGCAGGCGGUUCUUUAAGUCUGAUGUGAAAGCCCCCGGCUUAACCGGGGAGGGUCAUUGGAAACUGGAGAACUUGAGUGCAGAAGAGAAGAGUGGAAUUCCACGUGUAGCGGUGAAAUGCGUAGAGAUGUGGAGGAACACCAGUGGCGAAGGCGACUCUUUGGUCUGUAACUGACGCUGAGGCGCGAAAGCGUGGGGAGCAAACAGG